rnacentral:snoRNA from 1 species
CUUCAAUGAGGAGGAAACAUCCUGCCUCACCCCGUUCUAGCCUGGGAACCAGUAAUUGUGAACCCACCAGGGUUAACUGAAAAAGGGCGUGAGAGCUUAUUCCAUAAGGAACUGUCUGAGGCAU